rnacentral:rRNA from 1 species
UGAGGAACAUGACCUUCGGCGGGGGAUAGCCGGCCCAACGGCCGGGUAAUACCGCGUACGACCACAUGGGGACAUCCCUGAGUGGUGAAAGCAGCAAUGCGCCGAUGGAGUGCCUCGCGGCCUAUCAGCUAGUUGGUGAGGUAACGGCUCACCAAGGCGACGGACGGGUAGCUGGUCUGAGAGGAUGGCCAGCCACAUUGGGACUGAGACACGGCCCAGACU